rnacentral:lncRNA from 1 species
CAAACGAAUAUUCCCCAACACAACGAAUAUUUUAUAUCAACUUGCUUACUUUGAAAAAUUUUCAAAUAUUACUCUUAACUUUAAAUAGAAUAACAAUUAUCAAAAAUUUGAAUACUUUCAUUUCGUAAAUUUCGGGGUCUUACAAUCUCCCCUCCUUAUGAAAUUUCGCCCUCGAAAUUUACGUACCUGGUAGUUCGAAGAGAUGAGAAUACCUUGCUUUCUUUUCGGAUUGUACCUUCCUGGUUAUUUCAUCUGUAUCAUGAUUUUCAUAUUGCUCAUCUCCUGUAUUUCAGAUAUCAUUCUAGAAUACAUCUUCCAAAUAAAGGUUAAUUGACAUAUCACAAUUUGUCAACUUAUCAAUUAAAUAAUUUCAACUUAGGUAAGUCACACACUAGCGAAGUAUGUUACUCAUCUCUCCCCUCCUAGUUCUAGACUCAUAUCUCCGCGAGCGACCAUAUUCCUAAGCUCUGAUACCAUUUGUGAUGCCCCCAAAAUAGGUCCACACGACCCAUUCUGAGUCGCCAGAUAUCACACUAUAGAAAUCAAAUACAAACUUCAUUUAUAUAACUGUUGAACUGUCGUGCAAAAUACGACUACAGUUAAUCCGUGAGUUUUAAUACAAAUAUAUGUAACUCUCAUGGUGCCUCGACCACAACACCUUACAAUGGUACUUUACAUAAAAGUAUAGUCAAUAAUUGUUUUAGAAAUUAAAAUCUUUGGAAAAUACUCAAGGAAACCUUCGUACAUGGGAGGCCAUGCAUCUCAGUUAUGAUAGAUAUCAUAUAACUCGAGAAUUAUCCUUGGUUGACCCAAUAGUCCCCAAAGAAAAAUGAGCAGAUUACUAUCAUGUUCUUUCUAAUGGUGAGUCUUCUAUUAACAUAUAAUUAUCUCCAUUGUCUCCAAUUGAGAAUUAUACUUCAACCAAACUCCAAGAUUAUAUAGGUAGUGCUCGUAGAUAUACUCAGUAAGUGGAUGUGCAUAACCCUGUCUUAUGUUAACACGAAGUCAUAUGUCAUUAGACAUCUCGUAUGAUAGUGGCAAAAUACCCUUCCAAAGUUGGGUUCGCUUCAUCCUAUUUGAUUUCCCAAAUAUAACUAUUAAAUGUCGUAUAAAAAUACAACACACUUAUCUAAAGUUUUUAAUAAAAUUAUUUUCAUACUGUUUAGGGAGAACCUCAACAGCUAUAGACCAACGUUCUAAUCCCAUGUUACCUUCGCUCGACCCAGCUACACUCUUAUUACGUGGAAGGAAUUGUGAAGUAAAAGGGUGAGCACAACUAGCCCAGUAAAGAAUAUCAUGACUAAAGAUAAUUAAAUUAUCAAUAGCCUUCGUCAGUAAUAAAUUAGAGAUUUAGAACAUAUGGUAGAUGAUAAAACUUUUCAACCAUAGUUGCAGCGGAACGAGCAAUCCAUUAGAAGAUUCAAAUAGACCACAAAGUCUGUUAUCUUCUCCAUGUUAAAAGUCCACCAACAAUAUUUUAUCCCUGUAACAUCAAUCAACA